rnacentral:rRNA from 1 species
UACGUAGGGCGCAAGCGUUGUCCGGAAUUAUUGGGCGUAAAGAGCUCGUAGGCGGCUUGUCACGUCGGGUGUGAAAGCCCGGGGCUCAACCCCGGCAGUGCAUCCGAAACGAGGGAGCUCGAGUGCUGGAGAGGCGGGUGGAAUUCCCGGUGUAGAGGUGAAAUUCGUAGAUAUCGGGAGGAACACCGGUGGCGAAGGCGACCCGCUGGCCAGCAACUGACACUGAGACGCGAAAGCGUGGGGAGCAAACAGG